AUUUAAUGUGGCAAGUACGACGUGCCUAACCAGUGAAAAAGUGUACGUGCAAUUAUGUGGUGUCCUAACUCUUCUUCUGGUUGAUAGGCAAUAAUGAGACGCCCAGACAGUUGGUGCUUACUCAAAUGCUUCAGACGUUGGACUGAGAGUUUGAAACUGUAGCAGUUAUGGAAUUAAGUGGCAACAACAAGUCGUUUUCUCCAGCACUCUCACAAGAAACAACAUAGUAAACUCAUUUUACACCAGACUACACAAUGAACACUGUGUUUAUUAUAUCCCAGCAUUCAACUAUUUAAGAAAAAGUUGCCCAGAGGUUUUUCUUUGCUCUUUUGAGCUCAUCUGCAUCGUAUAAAUUCUGUCCUCUUUAAGCAAAUGAAACGAGCGAAACCACAGAAUAAGAAAUUUCUUCAACCGAAAAAUCUCUCGUGAUAAUGUUUUCGUGAAUUUCCGUGACACGCAUUCCAUGCAGAUAUUAUUUCACGCUCGCUCGACUCACACGGGAAUGUUGUAUGGGAAAGAACAAUUUCUCACAAAUCUGGCAAAACCGCACCUGGAAAAACCACGUCAAUUAUCUUUUCGCGCCUUUGAAUUAGGGGAGGGGAAAUGAUGCCCAUUUAUCGUUCGUGCCAUCAUGGUGUCAAGUUUCUUAAUCAGCGAAAUCAACUGUCAAGUUUGUUGGUGCAAUUUUGCAUGGGCAGUGUCGUUGUUGGGCAUGCACGAAUGAGUUGCCAAGCACAUUGCCUACUUAUUUCACUAUUACGUCUCAUGGAGUCUUGUUAUCCUCUAUUCAAUUCUUCCCUCAAUCGAUUCACCCAUCGAGUAGUGGACCAAUAAUUUUCAAUAUCGACGUCAAUCUUCUUGAUAUCCGGCCUGAUUUGAAUACAUUCGCCUAAAAUUCACCAUAGAUAAACAGAAUCAGGCUGAAAGACAGACCCUCGGAACGGCCGUCAUUUAAUCCAAUGUUUUCCAUGACGAUGGAAACAUCUUCCAACUUUUGGUCGUCCACGUACCACUGGAAGGGCGGAACUGUUCCGAUCCGGCCGCAAAGUCUUGACACAAAACAAUGAUGGUGACACGGUGUAGUAUCCCUUUGUACAGCCAUCCACAUCGGCCAAUCGACUCCGGACAUCCACUCUCAUUGUGACUCGUGUACGACGGCAGAGCGGACUCACCUGCGAAUAUGCAGACGAGAGGAUAAUUCCGCCCAGUGAAGAAAUGCGACGAUUCGUGAAAUGAGAGUCGAUCGAAUAUCAAAGGGACAUGGAUUGUUCCUCCGCACACGAACCGUAUUGGUCAAAAGUUAUGGGUCGAGGUGUUGUUGCACGGGCAGUGACUGGAUGAGCUGUUGGAAGUGACGGGCGUCGGGUGUUGGGACGUCGAGUUGGUCGAGGACGACGGGUGGCGGCAGUGUUCCAGGAUUUUCCAUCCAGGGAAUAAUAUUGGCCAGUUCCACACCUGGAAUGAAAACCCUGGGUCCUCCAGCGACUACCGAGUUUUUCCACAGCUGAUGCAGCCACUGACUGUUGCUGGAAUUCAUGCCAGUGUCGUUGAUAGUCACGUUUGAUAAGAAAUUAAGAUUUUUAAAAGGGUGCCAGUGCUGUACCUUGGAGGGUGAAAGACAGACCGGUGGAUUUGUCUUCUUCAAGUCCCAUAUUCCGCAUGGAAAUGGUCACAGAUUCCGACUGUUGGUCCUCGACGUGCCACUGGAGAGGAGGGACAUCUCCGAUGCGGCCACAGAUUCUGUUGUAUCCCAUAAUGAAUCAUUUCAUUUUCAGGUAAACUAAACUUAACUUUUGACUGUAUUACUUGGCUUCUUUCAUAAAGGGAGAAACGCGGAUGUAUCCAUUGGCGCAUUCCUUGUCAUUGGGCAGUCGACUGCGUUCGUCAAGUCUCAAAACAAUUCGACCGUGACGGCAAUUCUUGCUCACCUGGAGUCGACCCAUCAUCACCAUGAAUUUCUAGGGCAAAUGUGAUUUUUCUACGUACCUUGACAUUCCAAGUGCAGAUUAAUGGAUACGUUCUCGCUAUUGGGAAACUAGUCGACCGAUAAGUUUCCUCGAUGACUUUAUUAUUCUGAUCGUCCGACAAAGGCACAAGGAUAUUGCCCCCGCAAGUAUCUGCAUGAAUGAUUGCAUUGAAUUUAAUAUGUUGACAAAUAUGUUAUGGCGUAUUUCUUCACCGGCUUGAUCCCAACUGUGAACGGGAUCUUUAGUUUCUGCUGGACGCCUAGUUGUUCUUGAUGGACGUCGGGUCGUAGUAGCCGGUCGUCUGACAACGGGUUUAACUGUUGUGCUUUUCUUUACAGCAUUGGCCGGACGGCUGUUUUUGCGGUAAUAAUCCUCGUCGUAUCCGCUGCUGUUUAAGGAUGUGGCCAAAGUUGUCUCUGCCAAGGAAUCGAUUUAUUUACCUGCCACGGUGACGGAUAAAACGAGGCUGAACAACAAAACGAGAUGGCGCAUUUCGAGUAACAACUGAAAAAAGUUCACCUUUCGCAAUUCAACGCAACCAAGAUGUAGGAAACUUGUUGAAGAUGUUGAUAUGCUUCAGAGACUACAGCUGGAGAAACACUGACUGCUGGAUGAGGAGCGGAAGCAAACAAAUGAAAACCAGCACGGCGCUGCUAGUUUCCAGGACGUUUUCUGUUCUACAAUAACAACAUAACUUACGCGCUUAAUUUGUCACGUGGUGAAAGUCCUGCAAACGUCGUUCGACUAGCUUACUUCUUUUAUGUGCGGCUGUGCCUCAGUCAUUGUAUAUAAAGAGUGAGCUAGAAGAGGUUUGAAACGGCGUUAAAAAUGUUUGUAACCUCAAUUCCAUUUAGUUUCUAGAUCUCUAAUUGCGCCCUCUUUUUUUAAACAUCUUCACUUGUAAGAAAAAGGGAUCCUGUAGUUGUAUAGGAAAUUAGUUGAUAUGGCGACAUCUGCGUUAUAAAUAUAAGGUAAUCGGCAAACCAAAGACAAUGAAACAUCUAGCACAAUAAAUAUGUGGCUUAUUCCUUCAAGCAAAAUAAACGUGAAACGACUCUUUCAAAAACCAUUUUCUUUGGAAAAAACAUGUCUUAUUCAUUAUUUUUUUGAACAAUUGGGCGUUUUGGCCUUUAAAGGCUGGUAUAAGCCGUUUCUAGUAACAAAUGAAGCAUGCAAAAAUUGCCAAACACAUAAUUAAAAUUACUUGUAAGUUUAAACUUUAUCAUUAUUUCAGAUCACAUAGUGUUAAAAUGUAAUCAAAUUCUAUUUUCUACUGCCACAAAUUUGUUGAGAAAGGAAUUCCUUUUUAUAAACCUAUUGUCAACACUAUCGAGGAGUGUAUAUUUUGAUGUGCUCAUUUGAGAUAGGGACUUCAUUAAUCAUUAUAGCUCGUUCAA